rnacentral:tRNA from 1 species
GCCCCCCUAGCUCAGUUGGCAGAGCAAGGGAUUCUUAAUCCCUGGGUCACAGGUUCGAGCCCUGUGGGGGGUACCA